rnacentral:rRNA from 1 species
UUAAAGCACAUUCUGCUCAGCGAACACAAACAGCCGCAGAAUUUUAUACUGUGCUAAGGUAGCAUAAUCACUUGUCUUUUAAUUUAAGAAUAGAAUGAACGGAAACCCGAAUUUUAGCCUGUUUCAUUUUUUUUUAAUAAAAUUAUCAAAAAGUAAAAACACUUUUCUCCACUAAAAAGACGACAAGACCCUAAAGAACUUUACUAAAGUUUUGCUGGGGCGGCAUUUUAAAAAAAUCUUACUUUAAUUCAAAAAUUCCUAAUUUUAUUAACAAGUUACCUUAGGGAUAACAGCAUAAUAUAAUUUAACAGCUCUUAUUCAAAAUUAAGAUUAUGACCUCGAUGUUGAAUUAAGCUUCUUUUAAACGAAAAUUUUUAACAAAGAAAGUCUGUUCGACUUUUAAAUACUUACACGAUUUGAGUUCAGACCGGUGAAAACCAGGUCGGUUUCUAUCUUUUUUAAAGAUGUACUAGUACGAAAGGACCAUACAACUCGCUA